GGUUUGAUUCUGGCUCAGAUUGAACGCUGGCGGGAUGCUUUACACAUGCAAGUCGAACGGCAGCACGGACUUCGGUCUGGUGGCGAGUGGCGAACGGGUGAGUAAUGUAUCGGAACGUGCCUAGUAGCGGGGGAUAACUACGCGAAAGCGUAGCUAAUAAUGCAUACGCCCUUCGGGGGAAAAAGUGGGGGGACCUCGGGCCUCGCACUAUUAGAGCGGGCCGAUAUCGGAUUAGCUAGCUGGUGGGCAACGGCUCACCAAGGCGACGAUCCGUAGCUGGUUUGAGAGGACGACCAGCCACACUUGGACUGAGACACGGCCUGUAGACUCCUACGGAGGCAGCAGUGGGGAAUUUUGACAAUGGGGAAACCCUGAUCCAGCCAUCCCGCGUGUGCGAUGAAGGCCUUCGGGCUGUGAAGCACUUUUGGCAGGAAAAGAAACGGCACGGGAUAAUACCCCGUGCAACUGACGGUACCCAGAAUAAGCACCGGCCAACCACGGCCAGCAGCCGCGGUAAUACGUAGGCGCAAGCGUUAAUCGGAAUUACUGGGCGUAAAGCGUGCGCAGGCGGUUCGGAAAGAAAGAUGUGAAAUCCCAGAGCUUAACUUUGGAACUGCAUUUUUAACUACCGAGCCAGAGCGUGUCAGAGGGAGGUGGAAUUUCCGCGUGUAGCAGUGUAGGGAAUGCGUAGAUAUGCGGAGGAACACCGAUGGCGAAGGCAGCCUCCUGGGAUAACACUGACGCUCAUGCACGAAAGCGUGGGGAGCAAACAGGAUUAGAUACUCCUGGUAGUCCACGCCCUAAACGAUGUCAACUAGCUGCUGGGGCCUUCGGGCCUUGGUAGCGCAGCUAACGCGUGAAGCACCGCCUGUAGGGAGUACGGUCGCAAGAUUGUUCCAAAGGAAUUGACGGGGGACCCGCACAAGCGGUGGAUGAUGUGGAUUAAUCUGAUGCAACGCGAAAAACCUUACCUACCCUUGACAUGUCUGGAAUCCCGAAGAGAUUUGGGAGUGCUCGCAAGAGAACUGAACACAGGUGCCGUAUGGCUGUCGUCAGCUCGUGUCGUGAGAUGUUGGGUUAAGUCCUGCAACGAGCGCAACCCUUGUCAUUAGUUGCUGGCUGAAAGGGCACUCUAAUGAGACUGCCGGUGACAAACCGGAGGAAGGUGGGGAUGACGUCAAGUCCUCAUGGCCCUUGCGGGUAGGGCUUCACACGUCAUAUACAAUGGUCGGGACAGAGGGUCAACCCAAGAGGGGAGCCAAUCCCAGAAACCCGAUCGUAGUCCGGAUCGCAGUCUGCAACUCGACUGCGUGAAGUCGGAAUCGCUAGUAAUCGCGGAUCAGCAUGUCGCGGUGAAUACGUUCCCGGGUCUUGUACACACCGCCCGUCACACCAUGUGGGAGUGGGUUUUACCAGAAGCAGUUAGCCUAACCGUAAGGAGGGCGAUUACCACGGUAGGAUUCAUGACUGGGUGAAGUCGUAACAAGGUAG
rnacentral:rRNA from 1 species